UACGAAGGGGCUAGCGUUGCGUCGGAAUCACUGGGCGUAAAGCGCACGUAGGCGGACUCUUAAGUCGGUGGUGAAAUCCUGGAGCUCAACUCCAGAACUGCCUUCGAUACUGAGAGUCUUGAGUCCGGGAGAGGUGAGUGGAACUGCGAGUGUAGAGGUGAAAUUCGUAGAUAUUCGCAAGAACACCAGUGGCGAAGGCGGCUCACUGGCCCGGU
rnacentral:rRNA from 1 species